rnacentral:piRNA from 1 species
UACCACAGUUGGUUGAAAGUGUGUGCCAUC